rnacentral:pre_miRNA from 1 species
AUACUACUCCCUCCAUCCCAAAAUUCUUGUCUUACAUUUUUCUAAAUAUGGAUGUAUCAAGUCACAUUUUAGUAUUAGAUACAUCCGUAUCUAGACUAAUCUAAGACAAGAAUUUUGGGACGGAGGGAGUACUUU